AUAAAUUUAGUUUACCAGAUGAAUAAACAAAGGUUGUGUGCCCCUGCAUCUUUCCAGUUUGUUGCUCUCCAGUUGUCUCGGCAACCCAAAGAAGUCGAGAUAUAUAUCAGGAAAAGCAAAGAUGCAUGCUUGUCAGCCAAUUACACCCGUAAAUACGAGACAAAGCCAGAACAACCUAAUGGUUUAGAGAGACUGUGGGAAGAGAAGUCUCUUUCGGAUCUCUACCCUUCCCUCGCCACCCGUCAAGGAGAUCUGGUAUUCUCACUCUCCAAAUGACUGCCCAAGCACUCCUAUUUCUACCCUUCCCUCGCCACCCGUCAAGGAGAUCUGGCGGCGGCGCAGGAGGAAGCAGGGGCGUCCGCUUCUACUGCUGGUGCGGAAGAGGAGGAGCGGCGAGGGUGAUUCGGCUGCAAUUCGUUGCGGCGCUCGUGCUCGGGGUGGCCGUGCUGCUGUCGGCGCUCUUCUGGCUCCCGCCCUUCGCGGGACAGGGUGGCGGCAAGGAGGGCUCGGAUCCGGGCGAUGAGUUUGGAGCUGCUAUAGCGGCAAGCUUUAGGCUACACAAGACAGUUCCUGAGCUAAGUGGAAAUAAAUCCUAGCUCGUAUUGGAUAUCUGAGGAAGUUGGCAUUCCUAAUUCCACGGUGGUUGUGAAUAAGCUACAUCCAUUAGAUGGAUCAAACUGGACAAACAUCAUCUUCAGCAUUGUCCCUUUCCCAGAGAACGCAACUAUAUCAUCAACAUGGUUGAGCAUUCUUAGAUCAAAGUUCAUGUCCUUGGUUGUACAGCAGUCAACAAUCCACUUGACUAAGCCUCUAUUCGAUAAUUCAUCAUACUUUGAAGUAAUUAAAUUCCCAGGAGGAAUAACAAUUAUCCCUCCACAAACUGCUUUUCUUCUUCAGAAGCCUCAUGCGACAUUUAAUUUUACUCUGAACUAUCCGAUCUACAAAUUACAAGACAGGACUAAUGAGUUAAAGGAUCAAAUGGAGGCAGCACUACUACUCAAUCCAUAUGAGCUGUUUGCGUGUCCGGCUGCAUUGUCGAGGAGUUACAGAUGGACCAGUCCAUGCAGCUGUACCUCUUGCGUUCGCCGCCGGAAAAAAUUGAUGGCAGAUCAAAUUCCAGAAUGCAACAAAUUCCAAAUCAUUCGGUGGCUUACGUUCUUUUCAAAUUGAUAACGUGGUGAUGAAAGAUCGGGUCAUGCUGACUUGUAGUUCAAUAUGGCCAGCAGCUCCAGCAGGGUGAGAAAGAUCGUCAUCAGGUUCUAAAGGAUUUCUCAAAGUUGCUUGAUGAUCAGGAGUUUAAUAGUAAGUAUUAUCAUCCAAGCAACGCUAGGAUCUGGUUCUAUGGUGAUGAUGACCCAAAAGAGCACACAUUCUAAGUGAAUACCUUGAUCAAUUUGAAGAUAGCCCUGCUCCUAAAUGUUCGGCAGUGGUGUGCAUGAAGGAUUUGAGCUCCCCGUGCUCUGCUCGCCCGCCAGUCGACAUCCCAGUCUUGUGCUGCAGAUCGGUGUGCCCGUGCCUGAUAGUGGCUAGCAGCUCUAUUCUUAAUUACUUUGUUUUUCCUUUUCUGAUCGAACGUUUAGAUUUAGAUGAAUAUGGUUUUCACAUCUUCAAAAUACACAUUACGGGAUUUGGUGUGGGCGGUCUGCAGAGUACAGAGAGAUGUGAAACAUGGGCAUCCUAAACACCUUUCAAAAGAAUUGAAGAAUUGCAUGUUGAAAAAUCUUGCCAAACUUCAGUGUUAUAACCUCAUAGGGUAUAGUAUAUACUUGUAAGGAGGAAAGGCUUGACAAAUUGAGGUUAAAUUUAGACAUAAUGAAAUGUGGCUUAACUAUAUUAACAAUUUAGAGAUCACGUAUCUAAUUUUGUGCCUUAGUGUGCUACACUAUUUUAAAUUUGUUUAUGGAUGGAAUGAACAAUCUGAUAAAUUUACCCUGAUAUAGCUGAUUAUUUGAUUUAAUAUGUAGGCACUGUGAUACUGUCCAUACUAUAGUAAUGAGUUGUGUUAUGUAAUGCUAAUACUUAACAUAACUACCUCACAUGCCUGAUCUAUUAAUAUGUCCAUUAUAUAUGUUUGGUUUUUCUUUGCUUUGUCCACGUUCAGUUUUUUUUAAAAAAAUCUCCUGAAAUGAGACAAUUAGUGUGGACAUAGGAUUGUAUUUUGUUGGUUCUUGUUCUGAUCUCCAGAUAUAUUCUUGAACCAUCUUUCCCCUCUUGUUAAUAAUUUCUAUUUAGAAUCAUUAAUCUAGGACACCUAUAGCAUUAUCAAGUUACUCCUUGUGCUGACGACUUUCUGUAUUCUGAUUUUUGCAUGCUUAAUGAUAUUGGUGUUACUCUAAUGACUACAGAAAAUGGCAUCGGAUUUCUUGGGUACUUCUAGAUUUGGGUUGAUGCGACUUGGUUUGUCUGUACAGUUUUGAUCUAGCAGGUUGUUUUUGAUGAUAGAGUUGUCUGACGCCAAGGGUGUGAAGCAGAAUUUAAAGCCUAAAGGCCAUUUCAACUUGUCAGCUAAGGGCUCAGAUGACUCGCCCUGCGAGUUUGAUCUUGAGUUGUUUGAUGUUGUCUAUUUAAUACAUGUUGAAUUAGCGUUUUAGAUUUUGAUUGUAUUGGCCUUCCUAUUUGCAGGAGAGCAAAGCAGUUGUUGUCCUAAGAACCAUAUGCUACCAGAACAAGAAAGAUGAGAGCGGUUGGUGGCCAAGGCUCCUGAAAAAGGACCUGUGUUCUUGAAGGUUGACUGGACAAAUGGUAGGAUGAGGAUGACGAAGAUGUUGGAUGUUAGUAUUUCACUUUUGGUUGAUUAUGUUUUUUCUUAUGCGCCUGACAAAUCUAGAUAUGCAACCAGACAUGCUUUAUUCUUGUUCCUGUUUUGUUUUCCUUAUGUAUUAAUUACUUCACUUGUAAUGCACAUGAUGUUUUCCUUAUGUAUUAAUUUCUUAACUUGUAAUGCACAUGAUGUUUUCCUUA